GCUCACGGGGCUCAAACCUGACGACGUUGCUAACACUAACCCUAGCAAGAGCAGUGCUUCGCAGAAUCUACCACCGGAUCGGAACCGUGACCUACUCAGAAGAUCCGGUGAGAAACUCAGUAGGCUGCGUCUGUGGGUUAAUUUGCUAGCCGAGCCGUUCGUCGCAAGCGACGGGUUCGACGAGAACUAUGACCGGCGCUUGAGGUACCUAAAAGCACCGUUAGUGGAUCAGGAGGAUCCGAAAUGUCGUUUUUAGGGCAACGUCGACUGGUUACCAUUCGGUCCACAGGAUCGGAAAUGUAGCUGCCCGCGGCCACGAUGAGAGGGUUCUCGUGUCGUGGCGCUUUAUUGAAAUGACGCAAUUAUGCCGACGAUGUAGAUACUUACUGAUGGACUCGAGGUCCAGGAGGUCCAUGUUUCACACAUACCACGGCGCUUCGACGGCUAUACUGCAAGAACGGGAUUGUAUGAUUUGAACGGGUUUCAUGUUAGUGCGGGCCGCGUGAGCGACCACUACACUUGCAUAGGUUAUGACCGGACGUAUGCCAGUUCCUGUGCUCUAGCGCGCUGCAUGGCCACUUUCCACGGAAAUGUUGUGGUAUUUCGGAACACUAGCGGCACCGCCUGGGGCGGCCUGUCAGGCUGCCGUACCAACGUACCGUACCGCGACGGCCGUUGACUAUCGCCUCGACGACUCGUUGAUCAGGCGUCCUUGGGGUGACGGUGACGUUGGCGUUUUGGUUGUAGUGUUGACCACGGGAGCUCCCCUACUCUGCCUGGGUUUUGACCCCGGGCGGAGAUCAGACGUCGGGUGAGAGAGUUUUUUUUUUAUUGCUUAGAUGGGUGGACGAGCUCACAGCCCACCUGGUGUUAAGUGGUUACCGGAUCCAAUAGGCAUGUACAACGUAAAUGCCGCCACCCACCUUGAGAUAUAAGUUCUAAGGUCUCAAGUAUAGUUACAACGGCUGCCCCACCCUUCAAACCGAAACGCAUUACUGCUUCACGGCAGAAAUAGGCCGUACUUACCCGUGCGGACUCACAAGAGGUCCUACCACUAGUAAUUAUACAAAUUAUAUUUUCCGGGUUUGAUUUUUAUAACUCGAUGUUAUUCCUUCAGUAUGGAAGUCAAUCGUGAAUAUUUGUUGGGUACGUAUUUCAUUAGAAAAAUUGGUACCCGUCUGGGAUUCGAACACCAGUGCAUCGUUUAACACAAAUGCAUCGGACUUCUUAAUCUUUAGGCCGACGACUUUUAAAAAUCUUAAAAAAACUCUUGCUAAAACAUCCUUGGGCCUGCCAUCUGCUCUCAACAUCGGCAGACCGUCAAAUCCCUCAUACCCCGUGCGCCCCCCAGGCACGGGGAUCUCGUGGGAGAAUCGGCUCAGACCCGAAAAAAAAGGCAGAUACGGGUAGCUAAGAGACCGUCUGUUGUGCCAUAUGAGUUCGAGACUUAUCGUGUAAGAUAGGUAAACAGUAAGCUGCCUGUACAAGUGAUAAAGAAGUUUAUGGACUUGCGAGGUCUGCGCCGUGAUGGGAACUGCGUAUUAAGGCUAUAGGAGUGAAGUUUUUCAUGAUUCAAUUCAAACAUUGAUACUCACCAACAUACUAAUACUGUCGCACCUGCCAUAGGUAUCUGAACUUCAUCCAAAUACACAGCGCUUUGAAAAACUCACUAAGCCGCCUCCAUCUCAGCAGGCAAGCAGUAUCGUGUAGCAGCAAGACAUCAGCAGCUUUCUUUGAGAAUUGCAUGGAAAUUUCCACCAUUGAUUAUGAACAGCAAUGUCUGGGAUACACAAUCAAGCCACCUCUAGAAUGUCUUUCGAAUGUAGCACAGUUUUCUUAAAACUUGUGUACAGAUUACGAAGUGAAAUAGAGAAUGCUCAGUUUUUACAAUUAACAGCAUAAGGUCUGUUAAGGAUGAUAUUUCAGAAUAUUAACAGAAGAGUGUCUAAGUACAGACACGAAAUUUACUGGACAAAGCGGGAAUUAAAGGGCAAACGAAAUAAAAGACACAUCUUACAUCAUUAAAUACCUGUAUUCGAUAAAUUGAAAUAUGUCAGAAUUACGUCACUAUAGUAGUACGAUGAUCGAUUGUGAAUGACAAUUUCAUUGAAACAAAACGGAGAUAUGCAUUAGAUGCGAACUUAAAAUAGCUUUUACAACUUUUCGUUGCUACCUUCGGCAUAAUAAACUUAAAAGUAAUAUACACAGUUCAGAAUACAGAAUAAUAAUAAUAAUAAUUUACAGAGUUUUUAAAGAUGCAUUUCGAAAUUUUUAUUUUAUAAAUCAAUAAUAAAAAUACAUUGUGUUCUUUUAAAUUUUAUGUACUCGAAAGAGUUGAGUCCAACAAGUACCAAGUACCACGUCCGAGAAAGAGAUCAUUUCAUGAUCACGGGAUAGAUGUUCGAAAAAUCAUUCAAAAUCGUGCAUCUCUGUAUUAAAUAGACAUCGAUUAUAUAUUCUGUAACAACCUCAUUUUAUUUGAAACUGCAAAUAAACUUAGUUUCUAUUUUGUGCUAUAUCCCUAACACAGCGGUCCGGGAACCAAGGUAAAUUACCCCAAAUGGGGUAAAAUGAAAUUUUGGGGGGUAAAAAUGAAACUUUUGUGAGUAAAAAGUAUAUAUUGAAGUGAAACUUCUUUAGAAUCGUUAAAUUUUUAGUUAUUGUUUUCUUUUCAAAAUGAUCAUGGGGGCUAUAAUAUGUAAGAUACUAAAAAGAAGCGAUAACGUUUUUUUUUGUUAUUGGCCAUGGGGUAAUAUCAACUUACACAAAAAUAUUUUGGGCUAAUAAUUAAAAAAGUUCCCCGACCGCUGCCUUAACACUUUUACAGCAUACUUUCUGAAUAUCCUGACACUUUAGAUGAAAAAUUUAAGUUUCAGAACCUAUGACAUAUCUUCUUAAAAUAUUCAUUACACAGGCUAUUCAGGAGAUAGUAAAUUCUGCUUCAUUUUCAGUAAAAUUUUUGUAAUACCAAGAAUUGUUUCGGUUAAAUCAAAUAUUGUUUAAUUCAACAAAACCGUUUUUGUUUUGCAUUUGCAUUAAGCUUUUAAAUCAGAAAACGUUGUUGUUAAACUUAGCUUAUGUAAGGAAUAUCUUCGUCCAGUUUCUGUUGAGCUGAGCGUGUUAUAAAAUUUGCAAACAUUAUUUUUGUUAUUGUUACAUAAACAAUUCAAAAUAUACGUGUUAACUGAUGGCGUUUCAAUAACGAAAUAAAUCAUGCAAGUAAGUUGUCAUCACUGCAAUUAGCUAUUAAGUUUAAAAACGGAUACCGCUUAUAGCAAUUGUGCUUUUUUAUCUUCGGAUGAAUUCCACGGGACUAGUCUUAAUUCGUAAACGGUUUGAGCCAUUUUUCCAGUUGCACCAAAAUACGUGAAACUUUACGAUAUUAUGAAAGUAGCUGAACUGCUGAACUAUUUAUUCUCAGUUUUUCGGAGCGUGUCAAUUUUAUUAUAUUAUUAGCUUUUGCCCGCGACUCCAUCCACGUGGAAUAGUUACUUUGGCAUAACGCUAAACCUUACCCCCCACUUCAUUUACGUAAAAAGUGAAAAUAUUUUUGAAUUAUUGAAUGUUAAGGAGCUAUUUAAACCCCUAUUUUGAAACAUUCUUUAUUGGUGCUCCACUUGUAUUGGUCUUACCGUGAUGUUAUAUAGCCUAUAGCCUUCUUCAAUAAAUGGGCUAUCUAACACUGAAAUAAUUUUUCUAAUCGGACCAGUAGUUCCUGAUAUUAGCGCGUUCAAACAAACAAACUCUUCCGCUUUAUAAUAUUAGUAUAGAUUUCAGGAGUAUUUUAUUGCAACCUUAAAUUUUCAAGUUAGCAUUUAAAUUGGAACUAUACCGUCUUCCAGUAUAAAGUACUCACUUCAAUCAUUUAGGAUCAUCAGCGGUGAGACCGAAAUUAUCGCUUUUAAUAAUUUCACGACUAUUGUUGUUGUUGAGCCAAAAAUGUAGAUACUUUAUUAUUUUAGUUUUUUGUAAAUCUGAAUAUAGCUGCGCAGUAGUUUUUGAAUCGCGUAAAACAUGUGCCUAAAACCUUUAUUUAUAUUAUCAUGUCGAAUAUACUGGAUUAAAUUUGAAGAAUGUCAAAAAAUAUGAUCUAUACAUUCAUACACACAUUAUUUACACGACAAAGGAUAAAAGAUUUGAAAAACUACCGAGAGUCUCUAUAGAAGGGAUCAUUGCAAUCGACCUAGACAGCUUUAGUUAUAUUCACAUUUAUUCUUGCAUUCAGUAAAACUCGUGUUAACUGUAACUGCUAUAAUAUACAUGGAUAUUUCAAUAGACUUAUUUAAUUUUAUUUUAACAUAAACAAAAUAUUCACUGAUAUUUUUGCGUCUAUUCCUCGAUAUACAAUAUUACAGAAUGAACGUCAUUGAGUGUGUUAAAAGUCAUCAUCGUUCUAAAAAUAUGUUUUCAGUACAAAACUAAUAAUUUAAGCUAAUAAGCUACUUAAAAUUCUCUUAAAAUUGUAAUCAAAUUAUUUUUGAUCUCGACUCAAUCAGUCGGCCAUUUCUACAAGAUAAAAUGUUUUAUAGGUUGUGCGUCGCUGUCAAGUGUGUACAUUAUGUAUAUAUAUAUACAACAUUUCUACUCUAUAAACGUUUAUGUGUGACUGUAAAAUUCAAUUAAAAUUAUACUCAAUCAUAUUAACCCUUAAAAUUCGCCUGUUUGAAUUAUUCAUACAUCUGCAAUCAUUACCGAAGUGACGGCAAGUAAGUGCCAGGGAAUUUUAAAGAGUAAAAUUAGAUUAUAAUUUUACAAUAAGCCUUUUAAUUAUUCUUUUGAUUUAAAAUAGUAAUAACUAAUCUAAUAUGACAUCUUUUUUUUAAUAAAGUACAUAUUUUUUAUUUUUCAUAUAAAAAUGUAGUAAUCUUUUAGAUAAUAAACGAAUCUAUUUACAUCGGCUCAAUCCAACAACUUAUACCGCUAAUUAAUAUGUUUUAGACCUUUAGUUACUAAUUUAAUAAAGUUAUCAUUUUCGGUACUUUUUCGGUAUUAACUCCGCAUUUAUUUAAACAUUUCAGUAUCAAGGCAAACGCAGUUAGCACUGCAUGCUCACGUAACACACACACAAGAUAUACUAACGCAGCUAACGCACACGCAAACACACACACAACCGAACACGCAGUCAGUCCUUAAUCCUACGCACAAGACAACAUAAAAACGAGGGAUGAAAGAUUAACAUCACAAAAAGUACAGCCCUUAUGUUUUUCUUUACGCAUUAUUUAGCUAUUACAAUAAAAACCAUUCACACAAGGUAUUUUCACACGCUUUCAAUCGCCCGAAACAUUAAAAUACACAAUUAAAAUACUAAAUUAUACAAAGAAAUACAAUUUUCGACCUAACGAAUCUAGUUAUGCACUUCAUACAACAUAAUAGCGUUCAGGUCUUAUCAAUCGACUAUGAUAACACAAAUUAUAUUCUUUCCUUUCGUUUACGUGCGAAACCUCUACGAAAAUUAUUAUUAGGGAUUAACGAGUACACAAUUUUGGCACACAAUGAAAAUAAUAAUUAUUGUAAAUCAAAACAUCCAAAAGCACUUUCUUUGCGUGCAUUUACGAUAUAAUGCAUCUGCAAUAUGUGAUAAUGCACUCUCUUUAGAAAUAGUUAAGUUUUUUUUUUAUUGCCCUUGUAUGCAGACGAGCAUACGGCCCACCUGUUGGUGAGUGGUUACCGUAGCCCAUGGACUUCAGCAAUGCCAGGGGCAGAGCCAAGCCGCUGCCUACCGUAGUUCGUAGAGAAAGAAAAUAUUCUCAAUUAUUCAACACGCUAAACUGUUUUUCGAUAGGAAAAGUGUAGGUUUGUGACAUUAUCACGUAAGUGUAGAGCUCCGAAAACUAUAGUAAAAUUUACGAUGUAAUUGCGUGUAAUGGAUAAAAAUCUUAGGAUUUUGUAAUUGUCAGUUACGAUUUGGCGCGUUUUAAAUGUCACAUAUAGAUCCGUUUAGAGUGGGUAUGUAGUCUGAACCCUUUUUGUAUGAUAUUUAUAGUGGAUACAUACGGGUUUUUAAUCGUAAAGUCGUGGUAUUGCAUUGAAAGCGCUCUUAGUGUCUUGAAAAAAAUGUUCUCGCGAAUUUCAAUUCGCAUGCAAAUAUUAGUUGAGUUUUGGUAUUCAUUCAAGUAAUUUUUUCAUAACAUUUAUAAUCACAACGGAACUAGCUAACUUAUAAUAUUUAUUUUAUGCUUUGAAUCUAAGCACAAAUAAAAAAAACUUAAUUUACGUUGUUUAUAAGUUAUUGCAUAUGAAAUAAUUUGGAUUAAAUUAUAGUAAUCGUGAGUGCAUAAUGCGUUGGGCGUUGUUAUGCAAGGAGUAGGCAGUCCGCAUUUUGGAUUAUGCAUUGAGAUAUCUUUGCCUUGCAGACGUUUGAUUGGUCUGAAUUAAUAAAGUCAGAUUAUCGACGUACGAUAUUCUCGAUGCAUAGCAACAUCCAACAACAAGGAUUUUGUAUGGAUCGGGUUUUUCUUUUUCUUCUUCAUUCUUUAUUAGAGCCAUACACCUAUUAGGUUAAAUCAUCGGCUAUGGAUCGGGUUGAAUUAUCGACAAUUUUACGCUGAUUUUUUAUCCAAACGUUAUAAGAGAUAUACUUUCGUUCGUUCAACCCUCGCUGAUUUACUACUUUCUUUGGUUUUGCUGUUUUACGCGCCUCUUUAUUGGCUUAUAUUUACAUAUUUAUUAAGACUAACUAUAAUAUUCAAGAAUCGGCUUUUAUCUAUAUAUUAUUGUAUUAUUAGUGCUGAGUAGACAUCAAGUUGUUUUCAAUUACUAUUCAUUUCUACUUUUUUUUUUUAAACGACAUUGAAUUUUAUUGUAGUUUAUUUAUAAAUCUAUUUAGAGUUAAUGUAGUACUUAAGAUCCUUGAGGUAGUUUGACUAGUGAGAUUCUGGUACCAAUUUCUUAAAUAUUGUUUGAAUAUGUAUUGAAUUUGUUUUUGGACCCAAAAUAAUUAAUUGGCAUUGAUGGAACUGAUUUUACUUCGGACCCAAUUUUUUUUAAAUUGUUAUCACUGAAUCUGCAUUUAAGUUUGGACCCAAAUAUAUAAUUGGCUUCGCUGGGCCCGAAUAUUGGUUUGGACCCAAAUUUGUUUUGGUUCACUUACCUUUGGACAAGAAUUUUCGUUCGAACUCAAUUUUUUUUUGUGAAUGGCUUCACUGAAAUAUUAUUUUUAUUUCGUUACUGAAAUCUGUUUUGGUGAUCAAGUUAUUUGUGUUGUCUUAACGCAGCUUCGUCUUGAGAUGUAAGCUUGUCUGAUUUUUCUCGUUUUAGUAGAGGUACCUACAUGUAUAUUUUCUGUGAUUAAUUUUAUUUUGGUAUCUUUGAUUUGAGCGAUUUCUAUUCUGCCUUAAUAUUUUAUAAUACCAAAAUGUUUUGAGCACGGUGUAGAGCAAAGACUGUGUUUGUUAAUUGUUAUUUUAGUACCAAGCUGUUUGAGGUAGAUAUUUGAGGUAGUUUUAUAUUAUAUUUGUAUUUAGUUUUUGUACCAAAGUUUUAUGUUCUAACCAAAAUUUUACUAUUUUAACUAUGAAUACAUUUUGUUUGAAGGACCUAAACGUUUGACAUACAUUAUUUGCUUGAGUGUAGCUUUGGUACUAAAAUAUCUGAGGUAGCUUUUAUUAUUGGGAAUUUUGUAUCGGUACCAAAAUUUGUGAGGUAGAUGUUUGAGGUAGAUUCACUUUUACUGAACUUGUGUUGGUGACCAACAUGACGUGCUUUUAAGUUUUAUUUAGCAUAAUUUAUUCUGCAUUAAAAUUUCUAACAUAGAUAGACUGAUUCUAUUUAAAUGAUACCAAGUUUAAUGCAGUCUUGCUGUGACUUUUGAUUUGAUAAUGUAGAUGUAGAUAGUUUCUAUUAUUUUAUUCGGUUAUCACUGUAACAUGAAUUAAGUGUUUUUUUUGCUUAGAUGAGUGGAUGAGCUCACAGCCCACCUGGUGUUAAGUGGCUACUGGAGCCUAUAGACAUCUACAACGUAAAUGCUACCACCCACGUUGAGAUAUGAGUUCUAAGGUCUCAGUAUAGUUACAACGGCUGCCCCACCUUUCAAACCGAAACGCAUUACUGCUUCACGGCAGAAAUAGGCAGGGUGGUCCUACCAUAAGUAAUUACGCAAUGUUUUGUGUUGUUUUUGUUACCUUGUCUUGUUUUUUUGUUUGCUUGUGUAUGUUAUUGACCACGAUUCACCAAAACAAAGUCCGUUAAAUUCAAUGUCGUUUUUUUUAAAUAUAUUUUUUCUUUUUUUUUCUUUUUCUUACUUUUUGUUAUUUUUUUCUCGUUUUUUUUCUUUUAUUUUUUUUUAUUGUUUUUUGUUUUUUUUAUAACUUCGAUAUUAUCAUAAACUUAAAUUCCUAAUUUCUACAACAAAAUUAUGUGUUUAAUUUAAAAUUAAUUAGAUCUGCGUUCCAACUCGUCUUACUAUUCACAGUAACUAUAUUAUGUCACAUUAUAUACAUGCUUAUUAGUAAUUAAAUUAAGCAAAAAUUUGGAAUUAUAAUACAUCGCAUCAGUUGGUAACUUUUUACAGAUGUUUUACUCAAAGCCGCUAUGGAAUUUUAAAAAUUAUUUAGCAAUGUGUAUUGAGUUUCUACACUUUAAAGAUAUUUUAUAGUGUUAAUACAUAUAACUGCAUGAAUUAUUAUUAACAUUUUGCUAUGAAUUACCAUUGAUUGCAAUUACUUUAAAAGUGUUAAUGUUAGUUGAUUAUUAUUUGUUAGUUAAAAAAAAACUUCA